ACUUCGUUUAUUCUAUUCAGAAA
rnacentral:miRNA from 1 species